GUAGUGGUAGCUCAGUGGUUACGACAUUGGAUUACUAAUCAUGGAAGUUCGGAAGGUCAUGAGUUCAAAUCCCAGCGCUGCCACU